UCCGGUUGAUCCUGCCGGAGGUCACUGCUUUUGGAUUUCGACUAAGCCAUGCAAGUUGCGAGAAUUAGAUUCUCGGCGUCAGGCUGAGUAACACGUGGAUAAUCUACCUUAAGGCGGGGAAUAACCUCGGGAAACUGAGGAUAAUGCCCCAUAGGCAACGGAUACUGGAAUGUUCCAUUGCCGAAAGCUCCGGCGCCUUAGGAUGAGUCCGCGGCGGAUUAGGUUGUUGGUAGGGUAAUGGCCUACCAAGCCACUGAUCCGUAGGGGCCGUGAGAGCGGGAGCCCCCAGACGGGAACUGAGACAAGGUCCCGAGCCCUACGGGGUGCAGCAGGCGCGCAACCUCCGCAAUGCCCGCAAGGGUGACGGGGGGAAUCCAAGUGCUUCAGAUUUAUCUGGAGCUUUUCUGAAGCGUAAAUAACUUCAGGAAUAAAGGCUGGGUAAGACCGGUGCCAGCCGCCGCGGUAACACCGGCGGCCUUAGUGGUGACCGCUAUUAUUGGGCCUAAAGCGUUCGUAGCCGGGAGCAUAAGUCUCUAUGUAAAUCAGGCGGCUUAACCGUCUGAAUUGUAGGGAUACUGUGUUCCUUGGAGCUGGGAGGAGACAUGAGUACUCCAGGGGUAAGGGUGGAAUCUACUGAUCCCUGGGGGACUACCUGUGGCGAAGGCGCAUGUCUAGAACAGACUCGACGGUGAGGGACGAAACCCUGGGUAGCGAACGGGAUUAGAUACCCCGGUAGUCCAGGGGCGUAAACGAUGCCCGCUUGGUGUUGCGCACUCUACGAGGGUGUGCAGUGCCGUAACGUAGGUGUUUAGCGGGCCGCCUGGGAGUAUGGUCGCAAGGCUGAAACUUAAAGGAAUUGACGGGGGAGCACCACAAGGGGUGGAGUCUGCGGUUCAUUGGAUUCAACGCCGGAAAUCUUACCAGGGAAGACAGCAGAAUGAUGGUCAGUCUGAUGGGCUUGCUUAACACGCUGAGAGGCGGUGCAUGGCCGUCGUCAGCUCGUGCCGUGAGGUGUCCUGUUAAGUCAGGUAACGAGCGAGACCCGUGCCUCUUGUUGCUAUCUGGUCCUCCGGGGCCAGAGCACUCUGGAGGGACCGCCGGUGAUAAACCGGAGGAAGGAGCGGGCAACGAUAGGUCAGUAUGCCCCGAAUUUCCUGGGCUACACGCGGACUACAAUGCGUAGGACAGAGGGUUGCAACACCGAAAGGUGGAGCCAAUCCCGAAACCUGCGCCCAAUUCGGAUUGAGGGCUGUAACCCGCCCUCAUGGAGCCGGAAUCCCCAGUAAUCGGUUGUCACUAUCAACCGGUGAAUACGUCCCUGCUCCUUGUACACACCGCCCGUCAAGUCAAUCGAGUGAGCUUUGGAUGAGGGCCCGUCCUUUGGGCAGGUUCGAAUCCCAGGUUCGCAAGAGGGGCUAAGUCGUAACAAGGU
rnacentral:rRNA from 1 species